UGCACCUGUACUUCCUUCCCAACUGUCACUGUGUGAGCUGAGCUGCUGCAGUUUGGUCACUGGUGAGAAGUUCCCCAUGAUGGGAAAUGUGAAUUGCCGUUCUUUAGGAAAUUUCUGUAGCAAUGAAGCAGAAGAUGUACCUCACAAGACGACAAUAUCCAUAAAGAAAAGAGACUGCUUCUGCUCGCACAUCAGGGUGCACCCUCUUCCUGUACCAGAGGAAGGUUCCAUCAAUGUCCUGAUGGAUGAAGUUUCCAGUGACAUGGGAGACAGAGACACCACAUGGACUUCCCAUAGUUUUUGUCUGGAGAGCAUAGCAAACUCCAGCAGUGAAGAGGAAGACUCUGCAGCCACCCAAACAUCAUUGAUGCCGUCCAAAGGAAGGCAACUCCAAGGAUGGCAAGGAUUCAGAAGAAAGGAGCAACGUGGUGCCUAUGGACCUGGUCAUGCUGGAUUCUGCUCUUCCUUUCAGUUCCCAAGAAGCACCCCUUCGCCAGAUUUAGGAUUAAAAGCAAGGGAAGCAGGUUUGCAGUCACCAGAGGAGCAAAUGCAUAUGUGGUGUCCAAUCACCAGGGCGCUGUCACUCUGCUCUCCUCCCCUCAUCCCGGAUGGGCCAUCUUGGAUCCUGCAGUUGAGGGACAGCACAGAACAGCAUCGUGACCUUCCUCUCUCAGCACAGAGCUUCACUCCCUGUCCCCUGUGGCCCAGACUUCCUGUGCAAGGUGAGAAACUGGUGGUGAGGUCACUGACCUAAGGUUCAUAGGCAGUGGGGGAUGUGGUGUAAAUAGGGUUGGACCUGCCCUGAGUUGGUGUUUCCUGUGUCAUAAGUCAGGCUAUUAGUCCUCAGAAGAGGUCAACGCACCUGCAGUUGUGUCUCAUUUUAGGAGGUGGGGGUGCAGGUGCACCAAAAUUGGGGUGUGCAUAUUUGCAACAGGUUGUUAAGGGACAUUUCCAUAGUAACAAAAUGAAAAAGGUUAAAGAUUAGGG
rnacentral:lncRNA from 1 species